AUGCUCACUUCAGCAGCAUAUAUAUUAAAAUUGGAAUGAUACAAAGAAGAUUAGCAUGGCCCCUGCACAAAGAUGAUGUGCAAAUUCAUGAAGGAUUCCAUAUCCUU
rnacentral:snRNA from 1 species